UACAGAGAGUGCAAACGUUGUUCGGAAUUACUGGGCUUAAAGCGCACGUAGGCGGCGCCGCAAGUGUUGGGUGAAAUCCCACGGCUUACCCGUGGAACUGCCCAGCAGACUGCGGUGCUAGAGGAUGGUAGGGGAGAGCGGAACUCCUGGUGGAGCGGUGAAAUGCGUAGAUAUCAGGAGGAACACCGGUGGCGAAGGCGGCUCUCUGGUCCAUUUCUGACGCUGAGGUGCGAAAGCUAGGGGAGCAAACGGGAUUAGAUACCCCGGUAGUCCUAGCUGUAAACGAUGGGCACUAGCUUGGGGUCUCCCUGUGUGAUCUCAGGUGAAGCAAAAGUGAUAAGUGCCCCGCCUGGGGAGUAUGGUCGCAAGGCUGAA
rnacentral:rRNA from 1 species